rnacentral:rRNA from 1 species
UACGUAGGGGGCUAGCGUUGUCCGGAAUCAUUGGGCGUAAAGCGCGUGUAGGCGGUCCGGUAAGUCUGCUGUGAAAGUCGGGGGCUCAACCCUCGGAUGCCGGUGGAUACUGUCGGGCUUGAGUACGGAAGAGGCGAGUGGAAUUCCUGGUGUAGCGGUGAAAUGCGCAGAUAUCAGGAGGAACACCGAUGGCGAAGGCAGGUCUCUGGGCCACUACUGACGCUGAGAAGCGAAAGCAUGGGGAGCGAACAGG